GGAGCAGUUUUGAAGGGCAAGGGUAGCCAAUUUGCAAAAAGAACUUCUAGGAAGUUCACCGUGCCAUAUCUUUUUAAAAGGUCCUACCCAAUCAAGCUUUAACUCCUCCAAGCAUGGUAAACUAACCUGUAAUAAGAGUUAUGCGUCAUACCA